rnacentral:rRNA from 1 species
GAAUUUUAUAUAAUUAUUAUUUAGAUUUUUUGAUAUUUUUGUAUAAAGAAGGAUUAGUAAUUAUAUUUAGUUGGGAGGAUUGUUAAAUUUUUUAAACUUUAAUUAAUAUAUUUACAUAGAUGAAUGAGUUAAAGAGUGAUUAAAAAAUAAUUUAAUUAAAUAAGAAUUAAUUACCUUAGGGAUAACAGCGUAAUAUUUUUGGUGAGACCAUAUUAAUAAAAAUGUUUGC